rnacentral:ncRNA from 1 species
AUAGCCUACGUGGGUACCAGCAAAAUCUGGUACCGGGCGUAGGAACCCGUUUU